rnacentral:rRNA from 1 species
CAGCAAGGAAUUUUCCCCAAUGGGCGCAAGCCUGAGGGAGCAACGCCGCGUGGAGGACGACGGCCUUCGGGUUGUAAACUCCUUUCGGGUGGGACGAUGCUGACGGUACCACCAGAAGCAGCCCCGGCUAACUCUGUGCCAGCAGCCGCGGUAAGACAGAGGGGGCAAGCGUUGUCCGGAGUUACUGGGCGUAAAGGGCGCGCAGGCGGUGGGCUGCGUCGGCGCUGAAAGCGCCCCGCUUAACGGGGCGAGGCGCGCCGAUACGAGUCCACUCGAGGCAAGCAGAGGGUGGCGGAAUUCCGGGUGGAGCGGUGAAAUGCGUAGAGAUCCGGAGGAACGCCGGUGGGGAAGCCGGCCACCUGGGCUUGACCUGACGCUGCGGCGCGACAGCGUGGGGAGCAAACCGGAUUAGAUACCCGGGUAGUCCACGCCGUAAACGAUGCCGGCUCGGCGUCUGGCGCACGUUGGUGUGCUGGGUCCUUAGCUCACGCGUAAGCCGGCCGC